AUUGAACGCUGGCGGCAGGCCUAACACAUGCAAGUCGAACGAGUGGCGGACGGGUGAGUAAUGUCUGGGAAACUGCCCGAUGGAGGGGGGUAACUACUGGAAACGGUAGCUAAUACCGCAUACCAUCGGAUGUGCCCAGAUGGGCUUAGCUAGUAGGUGGGGUAACGGCUCACCUAGGCGACGAUCCCUAGCUGGUCUGAGAGGAUGACCAGCCACACUAGAACUUAGACACAGUCCAGACUCUGACGGGAGGCAGCAGUGGAGAAUAUUGCACAAGGGGCGCGAGCCUGAAGCAGCCAAGCCGCGUGUAUGAAGAAGACCUUCGGGUUGUAAAGUACUUUCAGCUAGGAGGCGUUACUCGCAGAAGAAGCACCGGCUAACUCCGUGCCAGCAGCCGCAGUAAUAC
rnacentral:rRNA from 1 species